rnacentral:ncRNA from 1 species
AUGAAUACAAGGGGAGAGCUUACAGUUUAUGUAACGCCGAAGGAGCAAGUUAAGAGCGAAUCUCUCAGGCAAAAAGACUCUUGUAGGACG